GCAAGUCGAGGGGUAACAGGGAGAAGCUUGCUUUUCCGCUGACGACCGGCGCACGGGUGCGAAACGCGUAUAGAACCUACCUUUUACUGAGGGAUAGACUUUAGAAAUAAAGAUUAAUACCUCAUAGUAUUUUAGAUUGGCAUCGAUUUAAAAGUAAAGAUUUAUUGGUAAAAGAUGGCUAUGCGUCCUAUUAGUUAGUUGGUGAGGUAACGGCUCACCAAGACAGCGAUAGGUAGGGGUCCUGAGAGGGAGAUC
rnacentral:rRNA from 1 species